GCGGCGUUAGCUCACCAGGUAGAGCACCGGCUUGUGGUGCCGGAGGUAGCCGGAUCGAGACCGGCACGCCGCCCCA
rnacentral:tRNA from 1 species